CCCGGGUCUAUAGUAGACAAAAUUUAACGUGCCACCGACUCGUUUAAUAAUUGCUCAGAGUGCGGUGCGAUUUGUGUUUGCGCGGUACUGUGUCGCUGGACCAUCAAGCGUGUCGUUAGGCCUGUCAGGCCGCCCCAAACCGGACCUUAACGGGUUGGGCCGGACCGGACCGGGCCGAAGUGGACCGGACAGGACCGGCUCUGAGCGGACUACGCCAUUUGCCAACAGCUAAAAUUUGAUAGAUGCGGUUUGCAGAUGCUGGACCUAAGCGCGCGAGGUGUUGUGCACACGCACACCAUACCCCUCCUCCUGAAGUGACCCAAAAGUGUCCAGAAAAGGGAUGAAACGGCUGAAAAAUGCUUACGACUAGUGCUACUGGCAGCUGUUGAAUGCCCACCAUUUUUUCCCGGCAUGGUCAAAUUGAAUACGAGCUUCUGCCACUUCCAUGGCCGUCGCAAAAGGUGUUGCACUUAAAUGGCAGC